rnacentral:rRNA from 1 species
ACGCUGGCGGCGUGCUUAACACAUGCAAGUCGAACGAAAAAGAGGGAAAGAGCUUGCUCUUUCCGGAAUUGAGUGGCAAACGGGUGAGUAACACGUAAACAACCUGCCUUCAGGAUGGGGACAACAGACGGAAACGACUGCUAAUACCGAAUACGCUUGGGAGACCGCAUGAUCUACCAAGAAAAGGUGGCCUCUACCUGUAAGCUAUCGCCUGAAGAGGGGUUUGCGUCUGAUUAGCUGGUUGGAGGGGUAACGGCCCUCCAAGGCGACGAUCAGUAGCCGGUCUGAGAGGAUGAACGGCCACACUGGAACUGAGACACGGUCCAGACUCCUACGGGAGGCAGCAGUGGGGAAUCUUCCGCAAUGGGCGAAAGCCUGACGGAGCAACGCCGCGUGAGUGAUGACGGCCUUCGGGUUGUAAAACUCUGUGAUCCGGGACGAAAAGGCAGAGUGCGAAGAACAAACUGCAUUGACGGUACCGGAAAAGCAAGCCACGGCUAACUACGUG